rnacentral:rRNA from 1 species
AUGAACGCUGGCGGCGUGCCUAAUACAUGCAAGUCGAGCGAACAGACGAGGAGCUUGCUCCUCUGACGUUAGCGGCGGACGGGUGAGUAACACGUGUAUAACCUACCUAUAAGACUGGGAUAACUUCGGGAAACCGGAUCUAAUACCGGAUAAUAUAUUGAACCGCAUGGUUCAAUAGUGAAAGACGGUUUUGCUGUCACUUAUAGAUGGAUCCGCGCCGCAUUAGCUAGUUGGUAAGGUAACGGCUUACCAAGGCAACGAUGCGUAGCCGACCUGAGAGGGGGAUCGGCCACACUGGAACUGAGACACGGUCAAGACGACUACGGGAGGCAGCAGUAGGGAAUCUUCCGCAAUGGGCGAAAGCCUGACGGAGCAACGCCGCGUGAGUGAUGAAGGUCUUCGGAUCGUAAAACUCUGUUAUGAGGGAAGAACAAAUGUGGAAGUAACUAUGCACGUCUUGACGGUACCUAAUCAGAAAGCCACGGCUAACUACGUG